rnacentral:rRNA from 1 species
AUUGAACGCUGGCGGCAGGCUUAACACAUGCAAGUCGAGCGGGGGAAGGUAGCUUGCUACUGGACCUAGCGGCGGACGGGUGAGUAAUGCUUAGGAAUCUGCCUAUUAGUGGGGGACAACAUCUCGAAAGGGAUGCUAAUACCGCAUACGUCCUACGGGAGAAAGCAGGGGAUCUUCGGACCUUGCGCUAAUAGAUGAGCCUAAGUCGGAUUAGCUAGUUGGGGGGGUAAAGGCCUACCAAGGCGACGAUCUGUAGCGGGUCUGAGAGGAUGAUCCGCCAAACUGGGACUGGGACACGGCCCAGAAUCCUACGGGAGGCGGCAGUGGGGAAUAUUGGACAAUGGGGGGAACCCUGAUCUAGCCAUGCCGCGUGUGUGAAGAAGGCCUUAUGGUUGUAAAGCACUUUAAGCGAGGAGGAGGCUACUCUAGUUAAUACCUAGGGAUAGUGGACGUUACUCGCAGAAUAAGCACCGGCUAACUCUGUGCCAGCCGCCGCCGUAA